UACGUCCAUAUAACUUUAAAACACCGGUUCUCGUACGGCCACAGAGGUUAAGCAACGUCGAGCCUGGUUAGUACGUAAACGGGUAAUCUCUUGGGAAUACCAGAUGCCGUUA